rnacentral:lncRNA from 1 species
AAUAUCUCAACCCUGACUCACUUCAAUGCGUUUUCCCAGCUUGUUUUUUUUUUUUUGGGGAAAUGGCUAUGACUCCGGUAGUUAGACAGUUAUCGGUUAUCACCUUAUAACGGCGCGUGUAAUCUCUCCCAGUAAUAGCGAGUGGCGGCUUUGGAAACAUCACUUUCAAUUCCCGUUAUGUUGACGUGUACGGAGUUUCGUUCCCCCUUCGCUUUCCAUAAAUAAUUUUUAGUUUAAAAUUUGAAUUUAAUAAUAAAUGAAUAAUUUAAUCACACAACGGAUUUCGUAACUGGAUUUUUUUCCACCUAACGCUUGGCUAUGUUGGCGGUACGUUGAAGUUUAAUUUUCAAUUGGGUCAACUUACGAAAAGAAUAAAUGCGGAGACUUAAUUAAGGAAACGUGUUUUAUUGAAAUUGACACGUGGACGUCAAGGGUUGCGCCCACACUGUAAUUUGCUAAAGCCACACCUUGCAAUUUGACACUGUUCACGUUACGCGUUUAGAUUGAUAAGUUUAUGUAUUAUGAUUCUCUUUGAUCUUUAUAUAAAUAAGUGUUAUUAAUAUAAUUGGUGGUUAAUAAAUAAAAAUAAUUAUUAAAUUUUAACCGUUUAUUAAUACUAAAAUAUAGGUGGCACAAGAUUUUUAAAAAAUUAAGAGUGCUCAGAUUAAAAGAGAGCAUUAUUAAUAUUUAACCAAAUUAUUAUCAGGUUUAUAAUUUUGUUAGGUAUCUAAAUUCCUCCGAAAUUUAAACAUAAAAUUUUCUCAAGUGACUAAAAGAUAUUUCAAAUGCAAAUUAAAUUUCUGAAAACAGUAUAACUCACGGAAAAUUCAAUGGUAGUCAUAGUCAACACUAGAAUAUUUUGUAUAUCUCAUCGCAGGCUGCCAGACAUAGUAUAUACAAAAGUUUGUGAUUAGGGGUCACAUCCAUUUAAAGGUAAUCACCUAUUGUACCAUAGAUCAAGGAUGCUAUUAAUAGUUUAAUGUUUGAGGUAUGUGGAACUUACCUUAGUUCACAUUCUUUUGUACGUAUAAACGAACGGACUGCUUAAACAAUAUAAACUAUCCCUUUCAUAUACUUUUAAUUUGGACACUAGAAUGGAAACUAAAUAAUUCAGAAACAUUUUUUUUCCCCAUACAUUUUACCGUUUACAAGCAAUGUAACGUGUAUAGUUGACUGAUUUAUAUGUAAUUUUAGCAUGAUAAACAUGAGGGAGCAUUGAAUUAUGUUGAAUAAUUGUCAAUUAACGAGAAGACAAACUUCAAAACUUUUUGCAUUGGGUUCUGACUCAUGGGAAUAGGGUAGGUACAUUGUUACAUAAAAUAAGUGCUAAACACAUGCUGUAGAACUCAAAACCCAGAAUGUUCUGUUGGGUAUAUAUACAUAUAUAUCUUCAUUUUCCCUAGGCAUUGCACAUGUGGUUUCAUUCAUCACACAUGCAUGCUUAUAUGAAUCUGAUCAUAUGGCGAGUUGCUUUGAUCCACUUAGAUCAGCUUAUCAAUUUCCAAUUCCCACGUUUGGUUCUAACUUCUAACUCAACCACUACAAUGAUUUAGAACGCGAGUGAAUACAAAAUACAAUGUGAAUUUGUAUGAAUAUAAGAGAGUCACUCGAGUCUUUUACAUAUAUUUGUGGGUAUUUUUUCCCUUUUAUGUGUAUUUUCUAAUUAUAAAAACCAAAUUACUGCUCAUUUCAACACGCAUGCAGGCAAGGAAAGACCAACAAAUACUUAAACGGGACUAAUUUAGACAUAGUAUAUAUGGGCUAAAAUUCAUGAUGCACUAUAAUUAAACUCAUCUAUAGAGCGAUUCCCAAUAAAAAGCCUAAUCUCAGGGCAACGUGUGUAUAAUCUAUAGAUAAUUAUUACAAAUGGUUCUAGUAAUAAAAAAGAAUUUGUAUAAGGCUGAAGGGUUCUUGCUAGUUAAAAAAAAAAAAAUUAAAAAAAAAAACAAUUGAAACUUGCUAAACAAAGAAUCUACAAGAGGGAGACAAUAUCCAACACAACCGCCCUAAUCCUAUGAAAACUGGAAAGAAAACAUGCUGGCGCAUUAAGGUAUAUUAUCAUCUCGAAAGUGCAUCGGAUUUUGGGGCUGUGUGAUUUUAAAAUAUAUCGAAAACAAGCAAUGGCCAGUAGAUACACGUGGAUUAUGAACAAUCGAGGAUGUCUCCUUAACCAAUUUAAUUAAUGAAAUGUAAUGUAAAGCUUGCUUUUCCCAAGCACUGCACAUGUCGCUGCCUUCAUUGCCUCUAAAGGCUUAAUAAUUUUGUGUAAUAAAUUGUGUUAAUUUAUUGUUCAGUUGGUCAGGCAUCUUGUAAUAAAAAAUAUAUAUAUAAGAUCCUAGGGUUAAAUCUCGUUCACACUAAUUUAAUUGAGACAUUAUUUUAUUUAACUUUUUUGUCAUUUUCGAUUUAAUAAGAAUUGGAAAAUCAUCAAUUAGCCACCUAAAGAUAGCGAAUAUUCAAAAAAAAAUUUAAAUCAAUUAUCUAUCUAAAAGUUAACUAGUUAAGCAAUCCCAACUCUAAUGAUGCGUUUACUUCAUGGAAUGGGAAUGAAAAUGAGGUGGAAUGAGAAUGGACUGAAAUGAGAAUAAGCUAAAAUAAGAAUGAAAUUUCAAUGUUUACUUGACAAAAAUAAAUGAGAAUGAGAAUGUGAUGGAAUACCAUUGAUGUGUUUACUUGACAAAAUAAAUAGGAAUGAAGAGUGAGAAUGAGAAUCAAUUUACCAAAAUACUCAUAAUAU